rnacentral:rRNA from 1 species
GCGCAGCAGUCGAGAAACUUCACACUGUGCGAAAGCACGAUGAGGGAAUCCCAAGUGCUUGCACGUAAGUGUAAGCUGUUUCCCUGUCUAAAACGCAGAGAGAGUAAGGGCUGGGUAAGACGGGUGCCAGCCGCCGCGGUAAUACCUGCAGCUCAAGUGGUGACCGUUAUUAUUGGGCCUAAAACGUCCGUAGCCGGUUUAAUAAAUGCCUGGGUAAAUUGUGUAGCUUAAACUAUACGAAUUCCGGGUAGACUGUUAAACUUGAGACCGGGAGAAGUUAGAGGUACUCCUGGGGUAGAGGUGAAAUUCUGUAAUCCUAGGGGGACCACCAGUGGCGAAGGCGUCUAACUAGAACGGGUCUGACGGUGAGGGACGAAGCCCUGGGGCGCAAAC